GUGCCAGCAGCCGCGGUAAUACCGGCAGCACGAGUGAUGGCCGAUAUUAUUGGGCCUAAAGCGUCCGUAGCUGGCCGGACAAGUCCGUUGGGAAAUCCACCUGCUUAACGGGUGGGCGUCCAGCGGAAACUGCCCGGCUUGGGGCCGGAAGACCUGGGGGGUACGUCCGGGGUAGGAGUGAAAUCCCGUAAUCCUGGACGGACCGCCGGUGGCGAAAGCGCCUCAGGAGGACGGACUCAACAGUAAGGGACGAAAGCCAGGGUCUCGAACCGGAUUAGAAACCCGGGUAGUCC
rnacentral:rRNA from 1 species